GCCCCGCAGGUGAAGAUGGAGGCCAUCAAGAAGAAGAUGCAGAUGCUGAAGCUGGACAAGGAGAAUGCCUUGGACCGGGCUGAGCAGGCAGAGGCUGAGCAGAAGCAGGCAGAGGAGAGGAGCAAACAGCUGGAGGAUGAGCUGGCGGCCAUGCAGAAGAAGCUGAAGGGGACGGAGGACGAGCUGGACAAAUACUCAGAGGCCCUGAAAGAUGCCCAGGAGAAGCUGGAGCUGGCUGAGAAGAAGGCAGCAGAUGCUGAGGCAGAAGUUGCAUCCUUGAAUCGCCGUAUCCAGCUGGUAGAGGAGGAGUUGGACCGAGCCCAGGAGCGUCUUGCCACAGCUCUGCAGAAGCUGGAGGAGGCAGAGAAAGCUGCAGAUGAGAGUGAAAGAGGCAUGAAAGUGAUUGAAAACAGAGCCCUGAAGGAUGAAGAGAAGAUGGAACUGCAGGAGAUCCAGCUCAAGGAGGCCAAGCAUAUUGCAGAAGAGGCUGACAGGAAAUAUGAGGAGGUUGCCCGGAAACUGGUGAUCAUUGAAGGAGACUUGGAGCGCACUGAGGAGAGGGCUGAGCUUGCAGAGUCUAAAUGUUCCGAGCUGGAGGAGGAGCUGAAGAAUGUCACCAACAAUCUCAAGUCUCUUGAGGCUCAGGCUGAGAAGUACUCUCAAAAAGAGGAUAAAUAUGAAGAGGAGAUUAAGAUCCUGACAGACAAACUUAAAGAGGCGGAGACCCGUGCAGAAUUUGCUGAACGAUCAGUAGCCAAACUGGAGAAGACCAUUGAUGACUUGGAAGAGCGCCUGUACAGCCAGCUUGAGAAAAAUCGCCUGCUCUCUAACGAGCUGAAGUUAACGCUGCAUGAUCUGUGUGACUGAGAAGGUGGCCCACUAAUGACACUAAACAAGCUUAUUUGAGCACCAGGGCUGUGGACCACAGUGAAAUCUGAUCAUUCUUAACAGACUGGCAGAUUAGCAGAUUUUGUGCAAUUACUGCUAUUUAACGAGGCAGCUAAAGUCUAUCCUCUAAUGUACUUAUUUUUUUCAAAGGUAACCUGUUCUCCAUGCCUAACCCUCCCCAGGCGUGUAAUUCCUCCUGGUUCUGAUCAGUCUGGGCAGUCUCACUCCACUAGUGCCACAGGGAGUCCCUGGGGGCUGCUGCUCUGGCUCCCUCAUCCAACUGUGAUGUGGGGGCUGGCUACAUUGGAGACCAAUCUGUUAGAUGAGUUGAUGUAGAAGCUGCUUUUGACAAUAUCCGAUGUCUGUAAGUGCUGUGGCUGACCACCUUACUAUAUGCUGAAUGUCUGUAGGAUCUCCUGCUGCAUGGAUUGAUGGCUGUUUCUGAUGAUGAUAAACCACUGGCCUUGUGGUCUGUAAGACAAAAUGCAAACCUGUGCUGCUUGAAUAAAGCCAAGCUCCAUUCAGAAGGCCUGUGGAGAAGCCUGGUUACUGUUAAGACCACAUGGCCUGGGGUGUGGAGAGGCAUCUUGGGAGUGAGCUGCUGUUGUCCAAGGACUUACUGAGUUGGAGGCUGUGGCUGCAGCCACUGUAAUGGCAAGCAUGCGUAAGCUUGGAAAUACCCCCCCUUGAGAGCCUGCUUGGGAAAAGCCCACAGAUCCUGCAGUCCGUGUGUGUCUUGGGCAGAGCUGCCUCUGGAGUCUCUAGCAAGGUGCCAUGCCUUGCCCUCACUGCAUCACUUCUGGACUGCCCUGAAGGUCCAAGUAAUGCACACAAUUUCUCUUGCCACUCAGCAGUGAUUACACUUUAUGGAGACCCUAGGUUUGUGUACAGCAGUGGGGAUAAACUGAAAUCCACCAAAGAGGAGCAUCUCUGCACACAAAGAAUGCUGGACCAGACCCUGCUGGACCUGAACGACAUGUAAAGGAUCCCUGCCAUCGCCUCUGCCCCACCCAGCGACUCGCUGGGGGCCAGCCCAGCCAGAGCUGCCCUUUAACCCCAAGGGUUACCUUCUCUUGCCAAUUCAACCAAACCAACUUCUGCCAAGUCACCUGAGGGUUAAAGGUCACCAGGUUGGGCAGAGCCUUAAACAGCAUCAUUAAGGGAAAUACAAACCAAUGCAAUAAUGUCUGGAGAACGUGAGAGAUGUACACAUUUUGUAACUACCUUUUUUUGUAGCAACCAUUGUAAACAUUCCAAAUAACUCUGGGGCUCACAAGCUGCACCUAAAAGAAGCUAUUGGCUUUAAAAUUUGAUGUUGACCUCUUUAGCUCAUCAGCUCUGGUCCCCUUUGCCUUGCUGCCAGGGAGAAGCAGAGGUGGGACAGUUCUGGCUCUGGCUGUUAAGUUCAAGUCGCCUGGCUAGGAAUGCAGGGAGCCUUUCUGCUGGGCACUAAUGCAUCCUGUCAGAACAGGAACUCCUGCAGGAGCAGAUGGCCCAAAAAGGGACAUCCAGUUUCUCAGCUGUAAAGUUUCUCCUUGCAUGGUAGAGCCGUUGGAGCAAAGAGGAGAGUGCUUUCUUUUUCUAAAAGACCAAACCUGUUCUCUUUGAACACUCAUGAAUGGAAGAAUUAGUCACAGGGGCCUCUUGGCCCUGUGUGUGCCAGUCACACCCCUUUGGCCAUUGACUAGAGAAGCAGCCCUCUAACUCAUUGUUGCCACUGGGUUUGAAUCUGCCUUCACUAAGUGCUAUUGCACUGAGCUUUAUCACUCAUUGCUGAUAAAUUGUAACAGCUCAUCUAUAAAACUGCCUCUUGUGUGAAGAGCUUUGCUUAUACUGAGGGGAUCCCUUCAGUCCCCCUGUUACCCAGGAGUACUCUUAUUGUCUUGAAUCGGGUCCAAGCCACAUUGCAGUGCACUGUUGAAGUUCUGUUUGUGAGGCACAGUAGUGAGAUCUGCAAGAGGUUUGCAUCGUGUAGCUUAGGCUUGAGAGAGGCUUGUUGGUUGUGGUGGUUUUAGGGGCCAGUUAGAGGACAACCUCUAUCAAGUGUUUUGAUACUAAAAUUGACAAUUGUCUUUUGAAAUAAAAACCAUUCCCGCCA